UUUGUGCUUACCAUGCAAGUCGAACGAUGAAGCCCAGCUUGCUGGGUGGAUUAGUGGCGAACGGGUGAGUAAUACGUGAGUAACCUGCCUUUAACUCUGGGAUAAGCCUUGGAAACGGGGUCUAAUACCGGAUACGACCAGUUCCCGCAUGGGAUGCUGGUGGAAAGGGAUAUGUACUGGUUUUAGAUGGGCUCACGGCCUAUCAGCUUGUUGGUGAGGUAACGGCUCACCAAGGCGACGACGGGUAGCCGGCCUGAGAGGGUGACCGGCCACACUGGGACUGAGACACGGCCCAGACUCCUACGGGAGGCAGCAGUGGGGAAUAUUGCACAAUGGGCGCAAGCCUGAUGCAGCGACGCCGCGUGAGGGAUGACGGCCUUCGGGUUGUAAACCUCUUUCAGCAGGGAAGAAGCGAAAGUGACGGUACCUGCAGAAGAAGCGCCGGCUAACUACGUGCCAGCAGCCGCGGUAAUACGUAGGGCGCGAGCGUUGUCCGGAAUUAUUGGGCGUAAAGAGCUUGUAGGCGGUUUGUCGCGUCUGCUGUGAAAGCCCGGGGCUUAACCCCGGGGUUUGCAGUGGGUACGGGCAGACUAGAGUGCAGUAGGGGAGACUGGAAUUCCUGGUGUAGCGGUGAAAUGCGCAGAUAUCAGGAGGAACACCAAUGGCGAAGGCAGGUCUCUGGGCUGUAACUGACGCUGAGAAGCGAAAGCAUGGGGAGCAAACAGGAUUAGAUACCCUGGUAGUCCAUGCCGUAAACGUUGGGCACUAGGUGUGGGGGACAUUCCACGUUUUCCGCGCCGUAGCUAACGCAUUAAGUGCCCCGCCUGGGGAGUACGGUCGCAAGACUAAAACUCAAAGAAAUUGACGGGGGCCCGCACAAGCGGCGGAGCAUGCGGAUUAAUUCGAUGCAACGCGAAGAACCUUACCAAGGCUUGACAUAUACCGGACCGCUCUAGAGAUAGAGUUUCCCUUCGGGGCUGGUAUACAGGUGGUGCAUGGGUGUCGUCAGCUCGUGUCGUGAGAUGUUGGGUUAAGUCCCGCAACGAGCGCAACCCUCGUUCUAUGUUGCCAGCACGUAAUGGUGGGGACUCAUAGGAGACUGCCGGGGUCAACUCGGAGGAAGGUGGGGAUGACGUCAAAUCAUCAUGCCCCUUAUGUCUUGGGCUUCACGCAUGCUACAAUGGCCGGUACAAAGGGUUGCGAUACUGUGAGGUUGAGCUAAUCCCAAAAAGCCGGUCUCAGUUCGGAUUGGGGUCUGCAACUCGACCCCAUGAAGUCGGAGUCGCUAGUAAUCGCAGAUCAGCAACGCUGCGGUGAAUACGUUCCCGGGCCUUGUACACACCGCCCGUCAAGUCACGAAAGUUGGUAACACCCGAAGCCGAUGUGCCUAACCCGUUUGGGAGGGAGUCGUCGAAGGUGGAUGCGU
rnacentral:rRNA from 1 species